rnacentral:rRNA from 1 species
AAACCGCUUAGAGGCAAACGGGUGGAACCGCAAUGCGUCGACCCGGGGGAUUCAGCCAGGCCCGUACGUUACUGGGACGAGCGUCAGGUUCCCGCGGAGCUAAUAGCGGCCCGCACCUGCGUUGUCGGUCUCGGGCGGACUGGUGCACUUUCCUCGGGUCGAAGGCCACGACCGGCUCUCCUUGUUGGCGGCCAGAAAGCUACGACCGGUAAGGUGACCGUUGGCCUCUCCGGGGCCUUCGGUGUUAUAGCCCGGUUAGAACGGUGCUCGUCAGAGGGCCGAGGAAGUAUGCCGCGCCAAAGCCACCCGCUGGCCAUCUCGGCUCUAGUUCUAUGGGUUGGACUGCUCCGUCAGUGCUAUCCGACUUGGAGCUGGGAAGGGUCGGCAAGGUGCUUGGCGCUUCGGGUCAGUGGCGAAUCGGUCGGUCACCUACCCGACCCGUCUUGAA